ensembl:snoRNA
AUCCCUCUGUAGUUCAUGAUGACUGGGCUUUCACAAGUCUGUGUGAGAUGUGCUGCGUUCACACCUUGUUACAUCAGCACAUUAUCCAUCUGAUG